ACAAGAAAUUGAGCGCAUGGUUGCUUUUGCAUUCCAAAAGAACGAAUAUUAGAAAACAUUGAAAAAAAGUCUGAGAUAAUACAAUUAUAUUCUACUAGAAAUAAACUCGAUAGUGUGCGCUAAUUAGAUAAUGUGAUAAUCAUGUUUAAAAACUCUUUUCAAGUCUUAUUUUUCAGAAAAUAAUAUUGUGGAUCAGAUUGCUCUGAGCGCUUCUGUUGUUUACCAAGAAAAUGCACCCCUGUUGGUUAUUAUUUCGGUAUCGCAAAGCGGUGAAGUUCUAUUUCUUGGUAAUUCGGUUUGUGAAAUGACUAUUAAUUACAAGCACAGCAUCAUCAACGGUGA